GCCCGGUUAGCUCAAUCGGUAGAGCGUGAGACUCUUACCACACCGUAAUCUCAAGGUUGCGGGUUCGACCCCCGCAUCGGGCU
rnacentral:tRNA from 1 species